UACGUAGGGCGCAAGCGUUAUCCGGAAUUAUUGGGCGUAAAGAGCUCGUAGGCGGUUUGUCGCGUCUGCCGUGAAAGUCCGGGGCUCAACUCCGGAUCUGCGGUGGGUACGGGCAGACUAGAGUGAUGUAGGGGAGACUGGAAUUCCUGGUGUAGCGGUGAAAUGCGCAGAUAUUAGGAAGAACACCAGUGGCGAAGGCGCUCUACUGGGCCAUUACUGACGCUGAUGGACGAAAGCUAGGGGAGCGAAAGGG
rnacentral:rRNA from 1 species